rnacentral:rRNA from 1 species
GACGAACGCUGGCAGCGUGCCUAAUACAUGCAAGUCGAACGAGUGGCGGACGGGUGAGUAAUGUCUGGGAAACUGCCCGAUGGAGGGGGAUAACUACUGGAAACGGUAGCUAAUACCGCAUACCAUCGGAUGUGCCCAGAUGGGAUUAGCUAGUAGGUGGGGUAACGGCUCACCUAGGCGACGAUCCCUAGCUGGUCUGAGAGGAUGACAAGCAACACUGGAACUGACACACGGGCCAGACGCCUACGGGAGGCAGCAGUGGGGAAUAUUGGACAAGGGGCGCAGGCCUGAUGCAGCCAUGCCGCGUGGAUGAAGAAGGUCUUCGGGUUGUAAAGUACGUUACGCGAGGAGGCGUUACCCGCAGAAGAAGCACCGGCUAACUCCGUGCCAGCAGCCGCGGUAAUUC